UCAUUCUCUUCAGCAUUUUCCUCCAGCAUCUCCUAUCUUACUGAACUAGAUGGAUGGUGCUGCUUUGGUGCAACGGCAGGCCGUAUUUCAGUCUCUCCUCUGUGUCCUUCCAUCAGACUGUGGCUCUGUUUCCUGAAGAAGCCUAGAAGCAAUAAUGUUCCAGUAACACUGGGCAUACCUCGUACACAGAUGCUGAUUUCUAAAUACUAUUCUCCACUGAGAGGAACCCAGUUUCUUUGGGGGAAAUGGCUGAUUUUAAGUCUGGGAUACAGGAAAUACACAGUAAGUUGGAAACAUCUUGUGCAAAAAACUAAGGAAGUACUCAAAAUUAAUGGGGACAUGUCAAAAAAGAUACAGGAAUUAGCUUAAAGUUUUUCCUGCUGCCCAAAUUUGUGAUACACUGAACAUCAAAAAGAACAACAAUGAUAAUGGUUUAUAUCAUCUCGAGUCAGAAAAGAACCCAUUAGUCCAUAGUGACACUCAAACUAAAGGUGGUGGUGGAGGUGAGCUUUCUUCUUUCAAAGGCUGCCAGCUAAUAAAUGUGGAAAAAAUUAUAGAAUUAGAAAAAUCACCAUUUGCAGCCACCAUUAUAAUCAUCAUCAGGAUCAUCAAAGGAUGCUAAAAUUGUGUUCUUCUUUGUGGAGUAAUGCACAGAGAAUUAGGAGCAGAACCUCUAAAGCUGCAGGAGAGAUAGGCAUACCUGAUCUACCUCUGGGACUUUGAAGAAGUGGCUUGGACUUAGUCCAGUUUAGCACAGAGUGGAUUGUGGAUAUGCCCACUAAGAUUCUAUAACCCAGAAUGUCCUGAUGUUGGCUACCAUAUGUCAUAAUUAUCUUGAGGGGUGUGAGGGGGUGGAGCUUAGAAUAACCAUAGCCCUCUUUGGGUGGUGAUUCUUUUGAAGGGAAACAAUUCUCCUGGUGAUCAUCCACUUGACUAGUAGUUGUAAAUUAUUGUGGUGCAAAAUUUAAGGAUGGAGGAGGUACAGGAACUAGAGAAGAAGAACUUUUUUCUCUUUUGAGUCCUUGCUGGGAGUAUGAUGUGGACCUUGAGACGUCAAGAUAGGCAGGGGCCAAACAGGGAGGCAGUCAAGGCAGGGUCCCACUGGGGGUGGCAUCUUUGACAGAAGCCAUUUUUGAGGACAGUAAGAGGUGACUGCCUGCGCUAAACUUCCCUGCCAACAUUUCUCAGCUCUGGUGGGGGGAUCAGGGAAGGGCUUGUCCCAGCCAGGGCUCAGUGGUAAAGGGCAAAAUGUUACCUCUCCCCUGUAGGGCAAAGGGGUGAUAAUGAGGAUGUCCCAAGUUAGCAAAAAUACACAAAUAUUUUCCGAAGGGCGUAAGUUCUGUAUAAAUCAAUUAGUUGAUGGAGUGUGUACCCAUUAUUCAUUGGUUCUGUCUUUUCCUUAUAAUAAAUUCACAAUCUCCUAUCA